GGGCGGUUGGCACAGUUGGUAGCGCGCACGCUUCGCAUGCGUGAGGUCCAGGUUUCGAAUACCUGAUCGUCCA
rnacentral:tRNA from 1 species